AUUGAACGCUGGCGGCAUGCUUUACACAUGCAAGUCGAACGGUAACAGGCCGCAAGGUGCUGACGAGUGGCGAACGGGUGAGUAAUGCAUCGGAACGUGCCCAGUCGUGGGGGAUAACUACUCGAAAGAGUAGCUAAUACCGCAUACGAUCUAUGGAUGAAAGCGGGGGACCGUAAGGCCUCGCGCGAUUGGAGCGGCCGAUGUCAGAUUAGGUAGUUGGUGGGGUAAAGGCUCACCAAGCCAACGAUCUGUAGCUGGUCUGAGAGGACGACCAGCCACACUGGGACUGAGACACGGCCCAGACUCCUACGGGAGGCAGCAGUGGGGAAUUUUGGACAAUGGGCGCAAGCCUGAUCCAGCAAUGCCGCGUGCAGGAAGAAGGCCUUCGGGUUGUAAACUGCUUUUGUACGGAACGAAACGGCUCUGGUUAAUACCCGGGGCUAAUGACGGUACCGUAAGAUUAAGCACCGGCUAACUACGUG
rnacentral:rRNA from 1 species